rnacentral:rRNA from 1 species
GCUAGCUACAGGCUUAACACAUGCAAGUCGAGGGGCAGCAUGGUCUUAGCUUGCUAAGACUGAUGGCGACCGGCGCACGGGUGAGUAACACGUAUCCAACCUGCCGUCUACUCUUGGACAGCCUUCUGAAAGGAAGAUUAAUACAAGAUGGCAUCAUGAGUCCGCAUGUUCACAUGAUUAAAGGUAUUCCGGUAGGCGAUGGGGAUGCGUUCCAUUAGAUAGUAGGCGGGGUAACGGCCCACCUAGUCUUCGAUGGAUAGGGGUUCUGAGAGGAAGGUCCCCCACAUUGGAACUGAGACACGGUCCAAACUCCUACGGGAGGCAGCAGUGAGGAAUAUUGGUCAAUGGGCGAGAGCCUGAACCAGCCAAGUAGCGUGAAGGAUGACUGCCCUAUGGGUUGUAAACUUCUUUUAUAAAGGAAUAAAGUCGGGUAUGCAUACCCGUUUGCAUGUACUUUAUGAAUAAGGAUCGGCUAACUCCGUGCCAGCAGCCGCGGUAAUACGGAGGAUCCGAGCGUUAUCCGGAUUUAUUGGGUUUAAAGGGAGCGUAGAUGGAUGUUUAAGUCAGUUGUGAAAGUUUGCGGCUCAACCGUAAAAUUGCAGUUGAUACUGGAUAUCUUGAGUGCAGUUGAGGCAGGCGGAAUUCGUGGUGUAGCGGUGAAAUGCUUAGAUAUCACGAAGAACUCCGAUUGCGAAGGCAGCCUGCUAAGCUGCAACUGACAUUGAGGCUCGAAAGUGUGGGUAUCAAACAGGAUUAGAUACCCUGGUAGUCCACACGGUAAACGAUGAAUACUCGCUGUUUGCGAUAUACUGCAAGCGGCCAAGCGAAAGCGUUAAGUAUUCCACCUGGGGAGUACGCCGGCAACGGUGAAACUCAAAGGAAUUGACGGGGGCCCGCACAAGCGGAGGAACAUGUGGUUUAAUUCGAUGAUACGCGAGGAACCUUACCCGGGCUUAAAUUGCAGAUGAAUUACGGUGAAAGCCGUAAGCCGCAAGGCAUCUGUGAAGGUGCUGCAUGGUUGUCGUCAGCUCGUGCCGUGAGGUGUCGGCUUAAGUGCCAUAACGAGCGCAACCCUUGUUGUCAGUUACUAACAGGUUCCGCUGAGGACUCUGACAAGACUGCCAUCGUAAGAUGUGAGGAAGGUGGGGAUGACGUCAAAUCAGCACGGCCCUUACGUCCGGGGCUACACACGUGUUACAAUGGGGGGUACAGAGGGCCGCUACCACGCGAGUGGAUGCCAAUCCCCAAAACCUCUCUCAGUUCGGACUGGAGUCUGCAACCCGACUCCACGAAGCUGGAUUCGCUAGUAAUCGCGCAUCGGCCACGGCGCGGUGAAUACGUUCCCGGGCCUUGUACACACCGCCCGUCAAGCCAUGGGAGCCGGGGGUACCUGAAGUGCGUAACCGCGAGGAGCGCCCUAGGGUAAAACUGGUGACUGGGGC